rnacentral:lncRNA from 1 species
AGCACAUCAGCUCCUGGAAACAAAUGCACUUAACCAGAAAAACAGGGACAUCAACCAGCAAAGAUGCAUCCUCAUUUAAUAGAGCUUGAAAUUACUAUAAUCUGUAAAGUACAGCGAGAAGAAGAAGUUUCACCUGCCUGCACAUCUGUCGUUGACUCUCCAUCUGACUUGGAGGGACUCUGAGGGACCAACCUGAGCCUGAGAAGAGGCAAGAUUCCCCUUCAAGGACACACUGGGAACUUACGGACCUCUUUCUCCAUGGUGCAGAGCGCAGAGGCUACCUGAGAAUAUCCAGAGACUACAGAGGUCAUCAAGUUGACGCAUCAAUGUUUACAUGUAAGUCAUCCAAGAUUUAUCUCACUAGUUUGUGAAUACUAUACCCCUACCCUUUUGUCUCUAUUUUGCUUUAGAAAUAUUUCCAAUAAACCAAUUUAUGAAGGAGGGUCCAGAGGAGGAAAAGGCCAACCUUCAGCACUGCAUUCCAUUUCUGGCCAUAUUCCCAGAAAUUAUAAUUAUAACCCAAAACAACAAUCCACUCAUUAACAUCUGCAAAAAGCAUGCAAUUCAGGAUGAAGUUUCUAAAUUGCCUUCAGCCAGAGGACCCUCCAAACCACUUCAUUGUCAUGAUCAACAUGGAAAAUCAACUUUCAGAGCAGUCAGAAGAAUGUACAUAUUCUUUUCUAAAUAUUGCGAAUAUUUAAAUAUUUUAUUGAAUAUCCUAAUAGCAUAUUUUGAAUGUUUUUUUUUCUGGAAUACAUUUGAGUAUACAGAGUUUCAUGAUUUAGUCAUAAACACUAAAAGAAAACAA